UACGUAGGUGGCAAGCGUUGUCCGGAAUGACUGGGCGUAAAGGGUGCGUAGGCGGCUAAUCAAGUUGGAUGUGUAAUCCCCGGGCUUAACUCGGGUGCUACUUCCAAAACUGGAUAGCUUGAGUGUGGGAGAGGUAAGCGGAAUUCCUAGUGUAGCGGUGGAAUGCGUAGAUAUUAGGAGGAACACCAGCGGCGAAGGCGGCUUACUGGACCAUAACUGACGCUGAGGCACGAAAGCGUGGGGAGCAAACAGGAUUAGAUACCCUGGUAGUCCACGCUGUAAACGAUGGAUACUAGGUGUAGGGGGUAUCGACUCCCUCUGUGCCGUAAGCAAACGCAAUAAGUAUCCCGCCUGGGGAGUACGACCGCAAGGUUAAA
rnacentral:rRNA from 1 species